rnacentral:lncRNA from 1 species
CAGCCACGCCACUCCCUCCUGAGAGCCCACCGCGCCACAGCUUGGAGGAAGAGCCUGCGGGGAACUGGCUGCAGGACGCUCUCUUCUUGAGUGCAGGUGCUGGCUCUGCUGUGACCAUGCCCGUGACCUUUGCCCUCCUGCUCCUCCUGGGCCAGGCCACUGCGGACCCAUGCUACGAUCCACAGGGCCGCCCCCAAUUCUGCCUCCCGCCAGUGACACAGCUGGCUGCCGUGGCGGCCUCCUGCCCUCAGGCCUGUGCCCUGUCCCCAGGAAACCACCUUGGCGCCAGGGAAACCUGCAAUGGCAGCCUGACUUUGGCCCUGGGUGGCCCCUUCCUCCUGACAUCUGUCAGCUUGCGCUUCUGUACCCCAGGACCCCCAGCCCUCAUCCUGUCUGCUGCCUGGGCCUCAGGGGGUCCCUGGAGGCUGCUGUGGCACAGGCCCGCCUGGCCUGGGGCCUUAGGGGGCCCUGAAAGGGUGACCUUCCACUCCACACCAGGUCCUAAGGCCACUGUGGCGGCCAGCCACCUCCGUGUGGAGUUUGGGGGCCAGGCCGGGCUAGCGGCAGCUGGGCUGAGAGGCCGCUGCCAGUGUCAUGGCCACGCUGCCCGCUGUGCCGCCCGUGCCCGGCCCCCCCGCUGCCACUGCCGCCACCAUACCACUGGCCCGGGGUGCGAGAGCUGCCGCCCGUCCCAUCGAGACUGGCCCUGGCGGCCUGCCACGCCCCGGCACCCCCACCCUUGCCUACCCUGCUCCUGCAACCAGCACGCCCGACGCUGCCGGUUCAACUCUGAGCUGUUCAGACUGUCGGGCGGCCGGAGUGGGGGUGUUUGUGAGCGGUGCCGCCACCACACAGCUGGGCGGCACUGCCACUACUGCCAACCUGGGUUCUGGAGGGACCCUAGCCAGCCUAUCUUCAGCCGCAGGGCCUGCAGAGCCUGCCAGUGCCACCCUAUUGGGGCAACAGGAGGAACCUGCAACCAGACCAGUGGGCAGUGCACCUGCAAGUUAGGGGUCACAGGCCUGACCUGCAACCGCUGUGGCCCUGGCUACCAGCAGAGCCGCUCCCCCAGGAUGCCCUGCCAGCGAAUUCCAGAGGCAACAACCACCCUUGCCACUACUCCUGGUGCUUAUAGCUCUGGUAAGACAGUCUGGCACGGAGGUCCCUGAGUGGCAAGUGGGAAUGAGGAUGGGCUGACUGGGUCCCCAGAUGGGGAUACAUGGGUCACCCAUUGAGCCCAGUCCCAAAGGUUUGGGUACCCCAGCUGGCCAUCAAGAUGGAACGGAGGGAUGGGCAGGGGCAGAAGGCUGUGGUCUAGGCCCCAGGAGCCCACUGCAGACAGCCUGACCCUCCCCAGACCCUCAGUGUCAAAACUACUGCAAUAUGUCGGACACCAGGGUACACAUGAGCCUUCGGAGGUACUGCCAGCAGGACCAUGGUGAGUGCUGGGGAGACAGACAGCUGAAGGCUACACAGCUGGUUCUGAUGACUGCUUCUAAGCCACCCCCUUUCUGGCCUUCCACUUUCUCAUCUUAAAUGGGAAGGAGUGUUGGAUUCCAAACCCCUUCCUGAUCUAGAAAUUGAUGGGGCAGAAGACAAAUGGGGAGGGGAGUGGGGAGGGGGCAUUCACUACCUUCCUGUGUCUCCUCUUUCCCCAUGUUCUUCGGCUUACAGAGUUUCAUCAUCUCCUUCAGCCUGACAUCUCUGAGGGAUGGAAGAGAUAGGGGAACUGGUUGAGUGGAAUGAACUCUUGCCCUGUCCUCCCUAUCUCAGAGACCCUUUCUGCUUCCCUUCAUGGUCCCAGAUAUUUGAGCCUUAGCCCCACUUCCCAUAAAGACUUGUCCCACGGUUCCCUAAUCCCCAGUCCACACCUGCUCCAUGACCUUGGGGUCUAUGACCUCAGGCUAUUCAGCUCUCUUAAGACACUCAGGAGUUCGGCCCAGCCAACAAAUCUAGACCAACGCCAGCUAUUUCUCUCAAUGUAUAGGACCGCAGACUUCUCCCUCAGGAACCUCAUCUGGUCACUAGUGUUCUAGGCCUUCACAGGUGGAAAGAUUUUCCCCACCUUCCACAGGGAUCUCCUGCCCCGCAGACCCAGCUGGCUAGUCAGAGUCCCACCCAGCCUCUCAGAAAGUGCAUUUUUCUGGCCGGGCGCGGUGGCUCAUGCUAAUAAUCCCAGCACUUUGUGGGGGCCGAGGUGGGCGGAUCACUUGAGGUCAGGAGUUCGAGACCAGCCUGGCCAACAUGGUGAAACUCCAUCUCUACUAAAAAUACAAAAAUUAGCCAGGCGUGGUGGCAGGAUCCUGUAAACCCAGCUGAGGCACAAGAAUCACUUCAACCUGGGAGGCAGAGGCUGCAGUGAGUUGAGAUCACACCACUGCACUCCAGACUGGGCAAUAGAGUAAGAUUCCGUCUCAAAAAAAAAA